UAAAUUCUACCUCAGCCGUUUUCACUCUCUCUUUUGUCUUCGCUCUUCUGAAUUCUCAAAUCUUAUGCUACUCAUCUGAUCUCAAGCGCUCCGGCAAGGCAAGCCAAUUCAUGAGCUUCUUGUACUCGAGGUGCGCUUAAUUUGAUUUGCAUGUGGUUCUCCAUUCCCUCAGUUGAAGCACGCCUUCUAAGCUUUCUCUCCUCCAUUGAAGCCAACCUUUGAGAGGGAACAGUGGAUGAGUGUACACCAGGAAGAAGCCAAUGUUCGUACACAAGAGAAAGAAGGCGGUAAUCCUGAACUUACAGUUGACAACAACAAUGUGAGCACUAUGGAAUCUGGAUUUCAAGUUGUAGAAAAGAAACGGAGUCUAGUUUGGCCGGAAUUCCUCACGUUUGACAAGACGAAAUCUAGUGAUGGGAAACAGAGGUCAAUUUGCAAACAUUGCCAAAAAGCAUCCUUCAUAACCGACCCCCAUUAUGGAACCCAAAAUAUGAAAGACAUCUAAGAAAAUGCAGUGCAUAUGAGAAAUAUUUGAAAAACCAAGGAGGAAACGAUUCAAACAAAGGUAAAAUCUUUAACCAAUUUGUGUACGGAAAUCUGGUAGCUAAAGCCAUAAUAAAACAUGGGUAUGCUUUCUCUUGGGUUGAGCAGAUGGUAAUAGAGAAAUUCAUUCAUAUUUAAGUGAUGAUGUAAAACUCAUUUGUAGGAACACUGGUAAAGCUGAUUGUUUAAAAAUGCAUAAAACUUUGAAGGCUCAGUUAAAGGAAACACUUAGUAAAGUCUCUAGUCGUAUCUCAUUAACAUGUGAUAUGUGGACCUCUUGUCAACUGAGGGAUAUUUGUGUCUCACAACUCACUAUGUGGAUGAUAAUUGGAAAUUAAUUAGUACAGUGCUGAACUUUACUCAUAUUGAUUCACCACACACUGGAAAGACCAUGUAUGCUGCUGUGUUGUCCAUGCGUCAAGAUUGGGGUAUUGAUGAUAAGAUUUUUUUGCUAGCUUCACAUUAGACAAUGCCUCUAGUAACGAUAGAAUGCAAGAUUAUUUGAAGGAAACUCUACUUGCACGAGAUGCUUUGUUGAAUAAUGGUGAAUUUUUUCAUGUACGAUGUGCUGCACAUGCAUUAAAUCUCAUUGUUAAAGGUGGACUUAAGGUCAUUGAACAUAAAGUUGAGAAAGUAAGACAUUGUGUCAAGAAGGUAAAAUUCUGAAACAAGAAAAAACACUUUUCGAUCUUGUGUAAGUCUAGCUAAGAUAAAAGAAACAAAAUCAUUGUGGCUUGAUGUUCCCACGAGGUGGAACUCCGUGUACAUGAUGCUUGAUAGGGAUAUCUUAUAUCGUUAGGCUUUUAGGGAGAUGUUUGAAGUUCAAAAAUGGCGUCCUACCUUUGAAGAGUGGGAUGUUCUUGAGAAGAUUCGAGAUGUUUUAGAACCCUUAUAUGAGAUAACUAAGAUGUUCUCGGGAAGUGAGUAUCCUACCUCAAAUCUUUAUUUUGGGAAUGUUUGGAAGAUUCUCAUGCUUUUGAUAGAGUUGGAGCACGAUGAUGAUGAUGUUUUGAGGACAAUGGCAAUAGAAAUGAAGAGCAAGUUUGAUAUGUAUUGGUUUAACUCAGAACAAGAUGAUUAUGGAAUGUUAUUUGCAUUUGCUAUGAUUCUUGAUCCUCGUUGCAAAUUAUCAGUGCUAAAGUUUUGUUAUGAAAACAUAUUUGGAGAUGUGGAGUCUACCUUGAGGGUUAGUGAUCUCCAUCUUAAGUUGGAGAAAUUUUAUAAGCUAUAUGCCCAAACUGGAACAUCAUCGACAUUGAACAACAACACUGAUGUGGCACAUGCCUCACAUUGCAGAACCUCCCUAAGCAACACUUCAACUUGAAACCGCAAGCGAAAAUUCGACUAUUUUGCGGAAUAUGACGAUAAAGAGGCCUCAUCUUCUUUUCAUGAGAGCUUAAUAUUGGAUGUUUACCUUGAGGACCCUAAACUAGAUCGGAAAGCGGAGCUUGACAUAUUAGCUUUUUGGAAAGAAAAUGAGCAUCGAUAUAAAGGCAUUUCUCAUCUGGCUAGAGAUAUUUUGGCCGUGCCCCUGACAACCAUCGCUUCCGAAUCAACUUUCAGCAUUGGGAGUCGAGUAUUGAAUAAAUGGAAAAGUUCAUCAAUUCCUGAAAAUGUGGAGGCUUUAAUAACAACUCGUAGUUGGAUGUACUCUUUUGAAACAAAUGAGGAUGAUGGUUUUUUUGGUUCUUAUGUGGAUUGGGCGGCGGCUCCCAGUGUUAACUGUAAACAAUUUUAAGAGUCGAAUAUUAGAGUAUAAUAAUUUAGAAUAUUUUGUAAUUUCAUUUGGUAUUGAACAUUAUGUACGCAUUAUUAUUGUACUAUUUUUUUUCUAGAUUUGUGAGAAUUGUGACUUUUAUUUCAAGCUUUAGUAAAUUUUUUCUCAUUC